rnacentral:rRNA from 1 species
AGAGUUUGAUCCUGGCUCAGAGCGAACGUUAGCGGCAGGCUUAACACAUGCAAGUCGAGCGAGAAAGGGGCUUCGGCUCCGAGUAAAGCGGCGGACGGGUGCGUAACACGUGGAUAAUCUGCCUCGUGGCGGGGGACAACAGUCCGAAAGGACUGCUAAUACCGCAUGUCAGGUCGGAAACUCCGGUUUCUGACGAAAAAGAGGGCGUCCGCAAGGAGCUCUCACCACGAGAUGAGUCCGCGUCCCAUCAGCUAGUUGGCGGUGUAAUGGACCACCAAGGCUUAGACGGGUAGCUGGUCUGAGAGGAUGACCAGCCACACUGGGACUGAGACACGGCCCAGACUCCUACGGGAGGCAGCAGUGGGGAAUAUUGGACAAUGGGCGAAAGCCUGAUCCAGCCAUGCCGCGUGAGUGAUGAAGGCCU